AACAGGGUUGUGCUAAGAAUCCUACUCAUGCAUUCAUGGGGCUUGUCAGCAAGGGUCUUGAGCUAUGGAUAUAUUAGGCUGUUUGCACAGAGGGGAGUGUCACCCAUAUGCUAGCAAUAGUCCACUAUGUCAGAAGAUCCAAAACCUUCAACUGGAGUAUGGCAAACAUAUUUUCCAGUUCAGGACUGAAAAUUAGGCAAUGUGUUUCCUGAACAGAGGAUCCACCACGUGUGAAGCUUAGGUAUAUCGACAUGAUGAUAAUAACAUGGAAAACAUGAGAAUUCAUGGAUUGUUGGCUCCAUUAAAGCCUUUUGGAUACAUUGUAGAAGCCCUGGAGAUGCUAUUGAUGUCCAUGGCAAAAGAUGGUACUGAGGCUCUUGGGCUCAAUGGGAAAUGAUGCUCCUUUGGCUGUGAUGUCCAACAGAGAGAAACUUACAUUUGAGUAUUUCAAGCAGAUGUUUGCUCAGGUAACAAACCCACCGAUUGAUCCGAUCCGAGAGAAAAUAGUCACGUGGAAGGGGACCUUACUGAAACAGUUCAUGUGGAAGGCUAUGUGGCAGUUUGUUUGUUUUGAAAACUUUCAAUAGACCAUUAAUUGUUUUGUUGGUAUUGUGCUGAUUGUUGUCUUGAUGGAUGUUAAAUGGGUGAAACAUGCACAGGUUCAAUGAUUGGUUGAUUAUAAUAUUGUUAGCUUUUGUUGAUAGAAA